rnacentral:rRNA from 1 species
AACGAACGCUGGCGGCAUGCCUAACACAUGCAAGUCGAACGAGACCUUCGGGUCUAGUGGCGCACGGGUGCGUAACGCGUGGGAACCUGCCCUUAGGUUCGGAAUAACUCCCCGAAAGGGGUGCUAAUACCGGAUAAUGUCUUCGGACCAAAGAUUUAUCGCCUUUGGAUGGGCCCGCGUUGGAUUAGCUAGUUGGUAGGGUAAAAGCCUACCAAGGCGACGAUCCUUAGCUGGUCUGAGAGGAUGAUCAGCCACACUGGGACUGAGACACGGCCCAGACUCCUACGGGAGGCAGCAGUGGGGAAUAUUGGACAAUGGGCGAAAGCCUGAUCCAGCAAUGCCGCGUGAGUGAUGAAGGCCUUAGGGUUGUAAAGCUCUUUUACCCGGGAUGAUAAUGACAGUACCGGGAGAAUAAGCUCCGGCUAACUCCGUG